CCAAAGAUUCUCUCAAAGAUGGCUUCCUCCGCUCCGGCCGUUGUUGGCCCGACAUCGUUCGACGAUCUCUGCCUGGGUCGAUCUGCUCAGUUCGUCGUGGCUCGCCUCCUGCGUUUUUGGGACUCCAGAAACAUUAAGAAGCAAGGCAAAUUCAUGGGAAUCACCUUGCUUUUCCUUGAUGAGCAGGUACUGUUCCAUUUAUUUACGAUCAAACUUUUGAGAAAGACCAACCAUUUGUGAUUCCGUUAAUUUCAUCAGUUCUGUUUUGUCACAUGUUUAUUUGUCGUUUUGUUCACAGAAUUCUGUGAUCCAUGGGUUUAUUACUGCCGCUCGCUCCGGUCACUACCAUCCAGGUUUACGAAGUGGUUCCAUCGUCAAAGUUUCACGCUUUGAGUUUGCUAGAUGCACUAAUCUGUACAAGAUCACAGACAAUCCAUUCGUGAUCCGGUUCCUCCCACAAACAACCAUUGAUGAAGUCGCUCCCAUUAUCAACCUCCAGAAAUUCAUGCUCAGGAAGUUUGAGCAUCUUCAAGCACUUGAUAACACGAACUUGGAACUCCCAGGUUUAUUUCUUAUAUAUUAUUCUCGAAAUAAUUUUAUUCGCUUUAAAAAUUGUCUUAAUUAUGGUCUCAGGCUGAGACAGUAUAUGUGUUUCACGUUGCAGAUGUUGUAGGAAUGAUUCGUUCCGUCCAAGGUUCCGAUCUUUCGGACGCUACAGUGAUGACUCGAGUUGUUGUCCGCUUCGUCAUCGAACCUAAUGUUGUGGUGUAUCUGUCCUUAUGGGAUGAAGCUGCGGCAACCUUUCGGGGACUCAUCAGCUCAGGCGAAAGAGCACAGUCUGUUAUGGUGGUCCCAACUGUGAAUCCAAAAAUCUUUGGAGGUUUGUAAAAUCUUUUAAAAAUUUUGGUUCAAACUGCUUUUGGUAAAUUCAAUUAUUUUGGGGUUUAAUUUAUGAUGCAACCCAAACACUUACUCUCUGCAGGAAAUUUGUACCCCAACUCCACCCCAGCCACGAAAUUUUAUUUCGACAUGAAUCUUCCAGCCAUCACCCAGUUCACAGCUAGGUUAUAUUCCACUUUGAUUAUAUUAAUCUUGAAUUAGUCACUUUCUAACAUAUAUGAUUCGCUUUCAUCUUAGGAGGACCAGUUGGUGAAUCUUUUCCUUGCAUUGAUACCAAGGAAUCAAUCAAGAAAAAGGAACAUGUCUCCAUUGGAGAUCUCAACAAAUUCAUCUCCAACUCUGAUGAGCAGACCCAAGAAGCAGAGUUCAUCUGCAAGGCUCGAGUGCUUGAGGUUCUCCAACAGAAUGGGUGGUCUUUUGUUUCAUGCACUGGCUGCAGCAGAAAGUUAGAUCAAUCAAGCAAUUCUCUACGUUGCAACCGUUGUGUUAAUGCCAACGUCACAGGUGUUAUAAAGUGAGCAUUUUAACAGUUUAGUAUCAGAAUCAUUGUUUCUUGGAGACCACUUCUUUCCAUUGUGCUCACUAAAUCCGUUUUUUUUUCAGGUACCGUGUUGAAUUGUCCGUUGAUGAUGGGAAUGACAAUGCCACUUUUGUGGUUUUAGACAGAGAGAUGCUUAAUCUCAUAAAGAAAGAUGCCGCAACUCUAACUGUCAAAGAGGUUUGUUUACAAAAAACAUAAAAAUUAUACAAAGCAUAGCACUGCAUUGUGAAGUUACAAAAUGUUUUCACUUAUUUCAGAUGAAUGGUGGUGGGGGCGAGCAGCUCCCAUAGUGUCUAGAAGAACUUGGUGGAAAAGAAUUUGUGUUCCAAAUACGUGUUACCCCGUUCAAUUUCACCCCAAACCACCGCAAUUUCACUGUUUGUGGAAUAAGUGACCACAUUGAACCUGAGGUAUUAUAUAUAUUAUUCCAUUAAAUUUUACAUUAACUGACGCAUUAUAAUACAUGUUAAUUCGUUAACCGGACUUUCAACACCAACGAAGCUUUAAUUGUUGGUGGCGAGAGUGGCGAAACAUCUUCGUCCGCCGGUACCUUGGUUGAAGGUGAAGCGUAUGAUCCAAAUCCAACCGGUGGUCAGGUGAAGGAUGGUAGCCGCAAACGUCCCCGUGAGUGAAGCUACUAAGCUGUGAUCCGUCAACCCAACUCUGCUCCCGUUUUUUAAUUAUCAGUACCUUUAAUUACUAUGCAUUUCUUUUUUUUUUUUGGACUUUCCAGUAUUUUC